GACUUGGUCGGCUUUGAAAACACAAUGCGAUUAUUACGGUGUUUGUGGUGCGUUUGGGCUCUGUAAUGGCAAAGCGUCCCCUGUUUGCAGCUGUUUAACAGGGUUUAAACCAAAGGAUGAAAAGGAAUGGAAACGAGGGAAUUGGAGUAAUGGGUGUGUGAGAAUUACGGCAUUGCAGUGUGAGAAAUCCAACAACCCCAACACCAGCGGUGAGGAAGAUG
rnacentral:misc_RNA from 1 species